GCACUGUUUCGGCUAGGGGGCCAUCCCGGCUUACCAACCCGAUGCAAACUGCGAAUACCGGAGAAUGUUAUCACGGGAGACACACGGCGGGUGCUAACGUCCGUCGUGAAGAGGGAAACAACCCAGACCGCCAGCUAAGGUCCCAAAGUCAUGGUUAAGUGGGAAACGAUGUGGGAAGGCCCAGACAGCCAGGAUGUUGGCUUAGAAGCAGCCAUCAUUUAAAGAAAGCGUAAUAGCUCACUGGUCGAGUCGGCCUGCGCGGAAGAUGUAACGGGGCUAAACCAU
rnacentral:rRNA from 2 species